rnacentral:rRNA from 1 species
CAUGCAAGUCGAACGAUGAUGCCCAGCUUGCUGGGCGGAUUAGUGGCGAACGGGUGAGUAAUACGUGAGUAACCUGCCCUUGACUCUGGGAUAAGCCUGGGAAACUGGGUCUAAUACUGGAUACUACCUCUUACCGCAUGGUGGGUGGUGGAAAGGGUUUUACUGGUUUUGGAUGGGCUCACGGCCUAUCAGCUUGUUGGUGGGGUAAUGGCUCACCAAGGCGACGACGGGUAGCCGGCCUGAGAGGGUGACCGGCCACACUGGGACUGAGACACGGCCCAGACUCCUACGGGAGGCAGCAGUGGGGAAUAUUGCACAAUGGGCGGAAGCCUGAUGCAGCGACGCCGCGUGAGGGAUGACGGCCUUCGGGUUGUAAACCUCUUUCAGUAGGGAAGAAGCGAGAGUGACGGUACCUGCAGAAGAAGCGCCGGCUAACUACGUGCCAGCAGCCGCGGUAAUACGUAGGGCGCAAGCGUUGUCCGGAAUUAUUGGGCGUAAAGAGCUCGUAGGCGGUUUGUCGCGUCUGCUGUGAAAGCCCGGGGCUCAACCCCGGGUCUGCAGUGGGUACGGGCAGACUAGAGUGCAGUAGGGGAGACUGGAAUUCCUGGUGUAGCGGUGAAAUGCGCAGAUAUCAGGAGGAACACCGAUGGCGAAGGCAGGUCUCUGGGCUGUUACUGACGCUGAGGAGCGAAAGCAUGGGGAGCGAACAGGAUUAGAUACCCUGGUAGUCCAUGCCGUAAACGUUGGGCACUAGGUGUGGGGGACAUUCCACGUUUUCCGCGCCGUAGCUAACGCAUUAAGUGCCCCGCCUGGGGAGUACGGCCGCAAGGCUAAACUCAAAGGAAUUGACGGGGGCCCGCACAAGCGGCGGAGCAUGCGGAUUAAUUCGAUGCACGCGAAAACC